rnacentral:rRNA from 1 species
GAUGAACGCUGGCGGCGUGCCUAAUACAUGCAAGUCGAGCGAACGGACGAGAAGUUUGCUUCUCUGAUGUUAGCGGCGGACGGGAGAGUAACACGUGGAUAACCUACCUAUCAGACUGGGAUAACUACGGGAAACCGGAGCUAAUACCGGAUAAUAUUUUGCACCGCAUGGUUCAAAAGUGAAAUACGGUCUUUCUGUCUGUUAUAGCUGGAUCAGCGCUGCAUUAGCUAGUUGGUAAGGUAACGGCUUACCAAGGCAACGAUGCAUAGCCGACCUGAGAGGGUGAUCGGCCACACUGGAACUGAGAAACGGUCCAGACUCCGACGGGAGGCAGCAGUAGGGAAUCGUCCGCAAAGGGCGAAAGCCUGACGGAGCAACGCCGCGUGAGUGAUGAAGGUCUUCGGAUCGUAAAACUCUGUUAUUAGGGAAGAACAUAUGUGUAAGUAACUGUGCACAUCUUGACGGUACCUAAUCAGAAAGCCACGGCUAACUACGUG